rnacentral:rRNA from 1 species
GAUGAACGCUGGCGGCGUGCCUAAUACAUGCAAGUCGAGCGAACGGACGCGAAGCUUGCUUCUCUGAUGUUAGCGGCGGACGGGUGUGUAACACGUGGAUCACCUACCUAUCAGACUGGGAUCACUUCGGGAAACCGGAGCUAAUACCGGAUGAUAUUUUGAUCCGCAUUGUUCGAUAGUGAAAGACGGUCUUGCUGUCACUUAUAGAUGGAUCCACGCUGCAUUAGCUAGUUGGUAAGGUAACGGCUUACCAAGGCAACGCUGCAUAGCCGACGUGAUAGGGUGAUCGGCCACACGAGAACGGAGACACGGUCCAUGCGACUACGGGAGGCAGCAGUAUGGAAUCGGACGCAGUGGGCGAGAACAUGGCGGAGCAGGGCCGCGUGAGAGAUGGAGGUCUCCGGAUCGUAAAACUCUGUUACUAGUGAAGAACAGAUGUGGAAUUAACCGAGGACAUCGUGACGGUACUUAAUCAGAAAGCCACGGCUAACUACGUG